AGAGUUUGAUCCUGGCUCAGAGCGAACGCUGGCGGCAGGCCUAAUACAUGCAAGUCGAACGGCUCUUCGGAGCAGUGGCGGACGGGUGAGUAACGCGUGGGAACGUGCCCUUUGGUUCGGAACAACACAGGGAAACUUGUGCUAAUACCGAAUGUGCCCUUCGGGGGAAAGAUUUAUCGCCAUUGGAGCGGCCCGCGUUGGAUUAGCUAGUUGGUGGGGUAAAGGCCCACCAAGGCUACGAUCCAUAGCUGGUCUGAGAGGAUGAUCAGCCACACUGGGACUGAGACACGGCCCAGACUCCUACGGGAGGCAGCAGUAGGGAAUCUUGCGCAAUGGGCGAAAGCCUGACGCAGCCAUGCCGCGUGAAUGAUGAAGGCCUUAGGGUUGUAAAGCUCUUUUACCAGGGAUGAUAAUGACAGUACCUGGAGAAUAAGCUCCGGCUAACUCCGUGCCAGCAGCCGCGGUAAUACGGAGGGAGCUAGCGUUGUUCGGAAUUACUGGGCGUAAAGGGCGCGUAGGCGGACAUUUAAGUCAGAGGUGAAAGCCCAGGGCUCAACCUUGGAAUUGCCUUUGAUACUGGAUGUCUUGAGUUCGGGAGAGGUGAGUGGAAUGCCGAGUGUAGAGGUGAAAUUCGUAGAUAUUCGGCGGAACACCAGUGGCGAAGGCGACUCACUGGCCCGAUACUGACGCUGAGGCGCGAAAGCGUGGGGAGCAAACAGGAUUAGAUACCCCGGUAGUCCAA
rnacentral:rRNA from 1 species